AUGUCUAAUCUCCCCAAGCCCUCAGAAGUUGACGCCGAUAACAUCAUUAAGCCCGGUCUUGAUGAACUAUCGGAUGAACAUCGCCAAGCCUACGAAGCGCGCAAGAAGCAGCGUGAAGAGGAUUUUGAGGCGCUCAAGAAGAAGCGCGAGGAGGAGGAUUUGGAAGUGUUUCUUUCAAGUUUCAAGAAGGACCGUCAAGGCAACAUCACUCCGGUUGGAAACAUCAAUUUUCCUCCCCUCAUCGACGAACAAGAUGUAAUCACUGUGAGUAAAGUUUUUUCUCCAGAGCAAGUGGCUGUGAUUGAAAGUCUUGUUAGUAAGGGUAAUGUGAUGGCAUACAAUUCUUUUGUGGCUAGUGCUAAUGCUCAGAAAAAUAUGCCUCCAUCAUCUAGUGGUACUGUUGGUAUAUCUGAAAACCCUAGUCCAACUUUACCUAUUUCAUCGGCACCUCCUAUACAACAACAAUAUAGUAUGCCGUUGAAUUUUUACCCUAGUCAAACCAACCAGCUUGUGGCUGCACCUACAUACCCUAAUCCUAUUAUGAGUGUGCCCAAUUCGGCGUCAACGCCGAAUCACUUUGUCACACCACCCAUAGGCGCAAGCAUGUUUGGUCUUCCGCCGAAUUAUGGUUCGGCGCCCAUCCCACAAGUUGCACCAAUAGCUAGUACUCAGGUUGCUCCUAUGUCAUUGCCACAAACAUCUUCAUCUCCUAUGUCAUAG
rnacentral:rRNA from 1 species